rnacentral:misc_RNA from 1 species
AUUUUGUCCUAUAUUCUUUAAAGUCAAAGUGAAACAGGCAAACCGAUUGCCAGUGAGACAUGAAUAAAGAGAUGGACGAUCCUACCGCAUCUCCUCUGCCCGCGGAUGGGCAACUGCAGGUAUACACUCGACGGUGGUAUGUUUUAACAAUGUUUGGGAUGGUUAAUUUCACACAGAAUCUUGUUUGGAACACAUGGGGUCCUAUUACACAGUCUGCAAAGGCUGUGUUUGGAUGGAGUGACAGUCAGAUAGGACAGUUUGCCAAUAUGGGAAACAUUGCAUACCUUGUCACAGUAUUUCCUGUUUGUUACUUGAUUGGAAAACUGGGGUUACGUUUUUCAAUCCUUGGCUGUACUCUUUUGAUAUUCAUUGGAACAGGAUUAAGAUGUAUAACGUAUGAAAAAGAAGCAGCAACAUGGUUAUCCUAUGUGUGUUCAGUAUUGAAUGGAAUAGGAGGAACAGUGCCCUUUGCAGGACCAUCAUUAGUGGCCAGCACUUGGUUUCCUCUCAGUGAGCGUGCAACAGCCACUGCAGUGUCAUCAGUGUUCAUGUACAUGGGCGUUGGACUUUCCUUUAUCAUUGGAUCUGAAUGGGUUCCACCCCCCUUGGAGGUAAACUCUACGGGUGAUGUUGGUUUCACUGCAGAUAUUGAAUCCAUAAGUAGGUAAGUUGUUUGACAAUUUCUGUAAUAGUUAAUAGAAACGUUAUGCUGAUGUAAAUAAUGUUAAUUCUCUGUGUAGGCUAUCAUCUUCGAAUUCAGAUUCAGCCAUGUAUACAUCAAAUCAUUCAGGUACGAAAGCAUUUAAUUCUUAUCAUGUCUUUCUUUCUUAAAAAUGAAAACAGGCUACACUUUUUCAUGCCAAAUAUUUUCUGUUAUCGUUGUCAUCUGUAAUAUUUCAUAUUCAAUUUUAAUAAAACCAACACCAAGCGUCGUGUAUUUUUUGUUAACUUGAUAAUAAUAUACUAUUACAAAUAGUACAACAGAAAAGCAACCCGUCAAAUUUGAAAUUCAAUCAUACGAUAAAUACUUACUAUAGGCAUCUCCUCUUGAGCUUCAGGAUCAAUCAGAAAAUAAAGAUAUAAAAAUCGCAAUAAAAGAAUUAAAAGUAUUUUUUUAUACUGCCUCUAACUCUAGAUACUAGUAAUAAAGGUUGCGACGAUCGCCCUACGAAAAUAUAGUUACUAGUUUUACGAAUACAGAAAACUUAUUUCAUAAGAAUAUGUGACAACUGACACAAACAGCCUAAAUUGAAUACAUGAAUAUCUUCUAAAAUCUGUUCUUUACUUCGUCAAAUACAUGCCUGUAGAUUACUUCUUUAAAUGCUGAUAAAACAUCGACACUAAUGGUAAAUAAUCAACAUUUGUGAAUCUCAAAUUAUUAAAUGAUGAUGUGGUAUUUCUAGUUAAAGUAAUCAACAUGGAUUCAAUGCGAACAGAUAUCAUGAAUUUGCUGUAUUCUGGUAUGUAUUGUGAAAAAAUAUUUUUACUUUAAUAUGUACUUGAGUGUUGUAAAAUUAAGUAUAUAUUUGAAGAUUUUCUGUCAACAUUGUUUUUCUCACUAAUAUUUUAAAGCAUUAUUAACAGAAUAAAACCAGCUAUCAAUUUUAAAUGUCACAUUCAAUAAAAGGCUUUCGAUUGCUUCGGUUUAUUUUUGGUAGAGUGCGGCCUCGCUGGUUUGAUCUUUUUACUCUGUCUUUUGUAUCUUCCCGCCAAACCGCCAACACCACCAAGUACGUCUGCUUCUGUGCAGAGAACCAACUACAAGGAAUCUCUUGGAAGUGUGGCUAGGUAUGAGUAUCAUUGUUAUCAAACCAAGCACUUAAACUGUAUGUGGAUUUCUCGAUAUUCCCAGGGUUUCGUUGAAAAGAUUCAUUUAGAAACAGCAACGAUUGAGCUAAUGCAGUUUAAAAUGCAACAUUCGCGGAAACACAUCUUUGUGCGUGUUAUUCAAUAAUUGAGUAUAUUCUCAAAAUAUUUAAAGGAACAAAUCUCUCAUAUUGUUGGGUUUGGCCAAUGCAAUACCUAAUGGAGUAUUUGGAAGCUGGCAGGCUGUAUUAGAUGUGUUAUUAGACCCAGUCGGUAUGAAUCAAGUAAGUACAAAUGUCUCCAGAUUGCCUUCUAGCUCGCAAAAACCAAUAUAAUAAAGGUUAAAGGAUUAUUUUUUAGGGUUUUGUUUUUCAAAUUGAUCUCGAAUGUCUAUAAGGAUUCAUUUUCUCUGUAAUACAAUAAUAUUACAAUUAUAGUCAGGGUUUAGCAAAUUACAUGCAUACUGAAAUCUUAAAGCAUAAAGACAGUUUAUAAGCAGUUUAUGGACCUUGAACUUCAAGCAAAGAAAAUUAAUCUGUCCACUUAGACUAAAAUAUGCGAAAUGCUAUGUUUUCUCCAUAAUAUCUUAAGAGUGAAGUCGGAUGGUUAGGAUUCUACAUGACAGCAGCUGGAGGCGUGUCUGGACUUCUUAUUGGGAGGUAUUUUGGACACGAACAUCUUUUGUAAUCAUGUUUAUCGGGUAGAAUGACAAUUCAUAAAUAGCUGUGAUAGUUAUCUGUAUUAAAUUUUGUUGCAGAUUUUCAGAUAUAUUUUUGAGACACACUAAAUUCUUUUUAAUCUUGAUGAAUGGCGGAGCAGUCCUAGGCUAUGUGUGGUUUUCUCUCAUGAGCUCUGGAAUCAUACCUAUCUCUAAAGUUGAAAUCUACAUAUCAGCUAUCAUCGGAGGAAUGUUAAUCAACGGCUCUUUUCCGUUGGUUUACGAGAUGGGAUCUGAGUUGGCAUUCCCCGUGUCGGAGGCAGUAGUUGGGGGACUCUUGACAUGUUUCAUGGAGAUUUUCGCAAUUCUUUUCCUACUGGUUCUUCUGAUCCCAGACAUAGGAACUAGCUGGAUGAACUGGUCCUUAUCAGGAAGUCUACUUCUAGGAUUUGUUCUACUCUUCUUGUUUCCAGCACGCUAUAAACGAACUGACAUAAAUAAUGUCGUCGUCCAUGUUAAUGCCGAAGACAAAUAUGACGACUCUGUUAACAGAAACACAAUAACGGGACACCUUGCAAGCUAUGAUGAAUGAAUAUUGUCUAAAAUGUGUCUUAAUAAGGUCGAUCGGUUGAUAUAAAUAGAUUCAAUCUGCAAAUUUGUAUGUAUUUAGAAAUUUAUUGGUUAUAAACCUUCAACCUAAGUUGAAAAAUAAUAAAGAAUGCUGUAGUU